GAGGGUAUAGCUCAAGCAGUAGAGUGCAUGCUUAGCAUGCACAAGGUCCUGGGUUCAAUUCUCAGUACCUCCU
rnacentral:tRNA from 1 species